rnacentral:lncRNA from 1 species
UGAAGCCAGACCGUCUUUCCUCACAGCUCCACGGCUGCAUCUCCGUGGGCACGCAAGCUUCCCCUGGUUACCUGAGCUGCUCCUGCCGUCUCCCGCCUGGGCUUCGCCGUGGUGCACCCGAUCCCGGAAUCGUGCGUCUGCGCCCUGCGAAAGAAGGACCUGCUGGCGGAGCUCCGGCCGGGGUCUCCUGCCUCGCAGCUGGGCGAGGGGACUUGGAGGACAGGGUGAAGCUGCAGAAGACCUGGGGUGGGAUGGCUAGAGAGGACGCCAAGGACUGGGGAAGGGGAAGUUAGGAAUACCUUACAUCCAAUGCCCACCCGUGCUCCGCAGGGCAAGGGCAGCCGUCGCCUCGGCCGCGUGCACCCAGCUCAGGCUGUUCCCAGGGAUUUAGUCUGGGGGGACAACCCAUGGCGAGAUGUGGUGGCAUUUUACCUCAGAGUGGAGCUGAAGAUGGAUAAACAAGGUAUCUGAUGUAUCUGCCUGAGAAGGCAGAGCUGGAGAAAGGCGGAGCGAGGGAGCGCGUGAAAAGAAAGAGAUGCCGAAUGCCGGGUGAUUGUCUGCCGCUUGCUGUGCAUUCUCAUUCUAGGGAGGAUGGCAUAAUUUAUAACCCAGCACAUGGAUAGAGGAACUGUAAAUUGUAGUCUGGAUGUCCCCGGCGCUGUCGACGAAGGAACUGAUGGGCUAGGCUCACAGGCAGAAGGAAUUUUCCUUGUCUUGGAUG